UUUCCCCUCCUUUUUCUUUUUAAAAGAUUUUAUUUAUUUAUUUGACAGAGAGAGAGACAGUGAGAGAAGGAAUUCAAGCAAGGGGAGCUGGAGGAGAAGCAAGCUUCCUGCUGAUCAGGGCUCAAUCCCAGAACAUUGGGAUCAUGACCUGAGCCGAAGGCAGACACCUAAUGACUGAGCCACCCAGGCAUUCCUUCACCUCCUUUCUUACAUCAAAGGUGAGCCCAGAUCCUAGCUUCAUUGUUACCAGAUGCAUGGAACUUCAGUUGUCCAAUUAUGUACCCUGCUCUUACACAUGUUUCUCUAAUAUGAACAACACUGCAAGAAUAUUCUCACAGUCUUUGGAAUUUCAGUAA
rnacentral:lncRNA from 1 species